UGUGCCAGCAGCCGCGGUAAUACGUAGGGUGCGAGCGUUAAUCGGAAUUACUGGGCGUAAAGUGUGCGCAGGUGGCCGCGCAUGUCGAGUGUGAAAUCCCCGGGCUUAACUUGGGAAUUGCGCUCGAAACUACGUGGCUGGAGUGUGGCAGAGGAAGGUGGAAUUCCAGGUGUAGCGGUGAAAUGCGUAGAGAUCUGGAGGAACACCGAUGGCGAAGGCAGCCUUCUGGGCCAACACUGAACUCAUGCACGAAAGCGUGGGGAGCAAAUAGGAUUAAAUACCCUGGUAGUCCACGCCC
rnacentral:rRNA from 1 species